rnacentral:lncRNA from 1 species
CGAUACAUAUAUAGCAAAAUCACAUCACCACACAUUCUCUCUUACACCAAUAUUUACAGAAAAUGAAAAUAAAUAAAAGAACGUAAUGGAACUGCACGUUUGUGUUUUUCGGGAAGCAAAUCGAUUCAUACUAUAACCCUUGUCCUUCAGCCGAGUCAGUUGUUUCCUCCGUUGAUACCUCCGAUGGGGCCGGACGGCGGCACGGGUCCUCUAGGAAGCAUGGAGAAGGCCAGCUGCGCCACGUCGAGUUUCUUAUUCGUCGACCUCCUGCUCGAAUGAUCGAGGGCGGAGCUUUCUUUUGGUAACCCAACGUUGAGACCCCGCGUUGCACCGCAUUGGUGACACCCGAGCAAGAGCAGGAGGAGGAGUAGGAGAGACAGAACUCUGAUAGAUUUUGUCGUACUGACGGCCAUAUUGGAGAACAAGAAAGAGCAAACUUUGUGACCACUAGAUGCUUUGGGCAAAGGUGGAAGCGGCAGCAGCAGCGGAGAGAGAGAGAGAGAGAGAGAGAGAGAGAGAGAGAGAACUUUAUCACCACUAGAUGCUUUGGGCAAAGGUGGAAGCAGCAGCAGAGACAGAGAGAUGAGGAGACCCGGGAAAGCCGAU